AAAGUUAUUUGCCAAAAUGUUGUCGUUUUUGAAAAACCUCUGGGAGUCGAUGGAUGCUGAGAAGCAGCGGCAAAUGUAUGCAGAAAAACUAGAAGAAGAACAACGGCGGCUGGAUGCCGAGAUUGAAAAGGAAGAGACUGAAAAACUCAAAUCUGGCGAUGCCUCAAAUAUGCAAAAUGUGCUUGCGUCUAUUAACGGAACAAAAAACACUAACACCACUCUCAAUAAUAAGGAGGAUGAUACGUGUUUUGAGCGCCUUGGCGUGAUAACGACAUUAAAGAGUAACCAUGGUACCAUUGACCAUUCUAUAUUUUUCGACAUUGACUCUGCUGGUGGUUUGGCUAGUGAUUUGAAAGUCGGCUGUCAUGUCAAGUAUUUAGCAUUCCAACAGCUGCAUAGUGAUCACAUCAAAGUAGUUCAAAUCAAAGAAGUAUCAGAAUUGUUUUGGGAUGAUUCUUUACCUACAGCGGAGAAGAUCGAUGAACAAAUUGCAGAGCUUCGUAAUGAAAAACCAACAUUUUUUAACACACAUCAACGCAAUAUACUCGGUCUUAUUAUGGAGCGUAAACCGGGCGCUAUAGUCGUUGAUACCGAACACAAGUUAAUGAAUAUUAAUUUGGACACGGUUGAAAUAGAUUUUAUACCACAAGCAGGGGACCGUGUCUUCAUCUGUUGCAAUGUACAAAGCGAUGAGCAUUUCGUGAAUCGCCAAGGUGAAGUUUUGCAGGAAGUGAGCGUGCAUCCGGCACGUUUACUGAAACAGGAAAAAUGCGAAGUGCGGCGUUUGAACGCAGAUUGGGGAGUGCUAAACGAGGACUGUUACUUUACCUUCGAUGUUGUGCCCAAUACCUGUAAGCUUGAUGUAGGCGACAUCGUCCUGGCCGAUCUAAUCGAAUGUGAACGGGAUCCAUACAUUUGGCGCUGUAUCAAAUUAACACUACUGGAACGUACAGUACCCCAGCCGACUAGCCCGGCUGCUACAGGCCCAUCAACAAAUGGCGACAGACGCCCAACACCGAAUGCCCGCAACGAGAGUAAACAUGCAAUUACAGUCUCCGAAGAUCAACGUUGUGUUUUAGCUAGUACUUUUCAGUCUCAAAAGGUUGAAAUGCUCAUUAAAAACAAUGUUGAGCGUAAAUUGCGUGUGCUUUCAAUCGAAUUUUUGGGUCGUAGACGUGAUUCACAAGUUAGACUUGUAGAUCCAGAUCCCAAUGCCACCGCUUUUGAACUCCCAGGAAAUAGCAGUCGCACACUAGUAUUUGAAGUUGAAUCUAAAUUCUAUGGCGAAUCUCGAGAAGUGUUUGUAAUUAAAUUUGAAACGUUCCGCGUAAAGCGCUCAAUUUUGUUGGUUGUGUGCGAGACGGAAGCCGAAGCCGAGGCAGCGCGAGCUCAGCCUACUCAUAGCAUUACAAAUUCAUCGAGUGGUAGUUCACAUAAUUUGCGACAACGUUCCCGUCAUUACGCCAAUCAAGUGUGGUCCAAUAAAGGGGAAGUUAUACCAGGCGUUGGUUUGGCAACAAAGCGCCGUUUCCUAGCACAUCGCAUUGCUUUCUAUGAGGUGCCCGAACGUUUGCGUAAUACCUACUUGACAGCAUCCAGUCGACAGGAAAUGAUGGAUAACGUGGAAAGUAUGUUUCCAUGCUUGAAAGAAGAACUCAGUAUAAAGAAUUACGCCAUACGGUUUCAAACGCUAGUAUAUUUAGAGGAAAUUGAAUAUUUUGUGAAUUUCCGAAACUACGAUCGUGAGCGUGCGCAUUUUACCCGCGACGGCGAGUUUUUGUCACUCACUAUUGAAAAUCUCUCUGAGCGUCGACCAUCACUCGUUAUUGGCGACACUGUACGCGCCAUUAAUCCUUGGUCCAACGAAGAUGAUAAGCGAAGCUAUGACGGUGUCAUUCACAAAGUACUCUUCAAUCGCGUACUACUCAAAUUCAACGAAGGUUUUCAAUCAAAAUACAAUGGAGAAGACUUUCGAUUGGAAUUCUACUUUUCGCGUUUUGCUUUUCGCAAGCAACACUACGCAGUCAAUCGUAUAAUAAAGCACGUGGGCGAACAAUUCCUUUUCCCUUCGCGUGUGUUUACACGUGACGAGCCGCAGUUACCAAUUGAAUUAGACAGCGAUGAUAAUCUCAUGCUCAAAGGCACACAGUGUCCUUGGUUUAAUCCGGAGCUGAAUCCUAUCCAAAAGCGCGCCAUACGCAAUAUCUUGCGUGGCGAAUCGCAAAAUAUGCCCUAUGUAAUAUUUGGACCGCCAGGCACCGGCAAGACAAUGACACUAGUUGAAACCAUGCUGCAACUGAUUAAGCACAUACCUAGUUCACGCCUACUCAUAGGCACACCAUCGAAUGGUUCAGCAGAUCUGAUAGCAACGCGUUUGAUAGCAAGCAAACAAUUACAGCCGGGUGAUUUUGUACGUUUAGUAUCACAAAAUCAAAUUGAAAAGGAAAUGAUACCGGAGCAUUUAAUGCCUUAUUGUGCCACGGUGGAUAUGGCUGCCGAUGGCACCUGUGAUGAUUCGAUGAUUGUUACUGAAUCGGGCAUGAAACUGCGUUGUCAAAUGAAAUACCUGGGCCGUCAUCGUCUCACCAUCAGCACAUGCACUACGCUCGGUAAUUUUCUGCAAAUGGGCUUUCCACCUGGCCAUUUUACACAUGUACUAAUCGAUGAGUCUGGUCAGUGUACUGAACCGGAGGUUAUGGUACCCGUAUGCUUGGUUGCUCAGAAACGUGGUCAAGUUAUAUUGGCCGGUGAUCCACAUCAAUUGCAAGCGAUUGUUAUCAAUCGAUUUGCUUCUGAACACGGCCUCUCGCUUUCACUUCUGGAACGCAUAUUAGGACGUACGCCAUAUUUACGCGACGUAAUGCGAUUUCCUGACACUUCGGGUUUCGACCCGCGUUUGGUUACAAAGUUGCUCUACAAUUACCGUUCCUUGCCCUCCAUAUUGAAUGUAUACAGCGAAUUGUUCUAUGACUCUGAGUUGCGUGCCAUGGUGAAUGAGAAAGAUUCGCGCGAGGCUGAGAUGUUGAAGAAGCUUGAUGUACUGUUACCCACAUCAGAGAAACGACCUAAAUCGCAUGGUAUUUUCUUCUAUGGCACACGCAGUGAAAAUAAACAGGAAUCCGAUUCACCUUCGUGGUUCAAUCCGCUCGAAGCGAGAAAUGUAUUCCUUAUGACCAUCAAGUUAUAUCGUCAAGGUAUUGAACCUGAAAAUAUUGGCAUUAUAACACCAUAUAUGAAGCAAGUGAAACAUUUGCGCACUCUUUUCAUCGAAGCAGAUAUUGCUAUGCCAAAAAUUGGUUCUGUCGAAGAAUUUCAAGGACAGGAGCGUGACAUUAUUCUCAUCUCUACAGUGCGCUCUUCACAGAAAUUAAUCAGUAGUGAUUUGCGUCAUGCGCUUGGUUUUGUUCAGAGUGCUAAACGCAUGAAUGUUGCCAUUUCUAGAGCUCGUUAUCUUAUGUUUAUAUUUGGAAAUCCGCAUCUGCUUUACUUAGAUCACUGUUGGCGUACAUGCAUAAAGUAUUGUGUAGAUAAUGAGGCAUACUUGGGCUGUGAUUUGCCAGAUGAUUUCGAUACUAGACCGGAACUAGAUGAACAGGGCGAGGAGAAAAUUGAGUCCGCUACAACAGCAACAACAACCAAUGAGCCCGCAUUGGAAUCGGCACUACCGGCUUGAAAUAAGCAAUGUUAUCAGGACAUGGAUAAUCUUUAACCUUUUUGAAAGCAAUCACCAAAAGUCUAUGUUUUAACACGUCCUCAUUUCACCAGGCCUUUGGACAUCUACGUUCAUUGAUCGUAAUUGACUGAUGCCAAUAGCUUUUUCUUGGAUACAAAUCUAGUUGCAUGUCCAAUAACGCCAGUAUUUUCAAUAACUAUGGGAUAAUAGUGACUACCGACUAUCCUCGUAUUGUCAGCGGACCAAUUAAAUGUAAGAUCACCCUUGUAGAAGGCCAGAUCCAAAACCGAACAAGUUGAAGCAAGAGUAUCUCUUUGAAACGUGUAAUGACCACUAUUAAGUACGUGAAUAUUCGACCCUUUAUCUAUUCCUACUUUUUGGUGUAAACUUUAAAAGAUCAGCAAAGAUUCUCUCAAGCUGGUAAACAAUGCCUCUCUUAUACUCAUCCGUGCCAAAUACGGGAUUGGGGACAGUCUUGGUAUGCUUUCUAUAUAUAUUUCCCCUACUACCUAGGAUCACAGAAUAAACAGUAUACAGAAGACUCACCAAAUACAAAUUUAUUUUUCUUCGGCGGACGUAAUAUUACAACCCGGACCAGAGCAGAGAAGUUAACAUUACGACCGCUAUGAAUAACAUGGCGACCCGGAACAGAGCAGAGGAGUUAACAUCACGUCCACUACGGUAACAUGAAGUUAACAUCUCGCCAUAAACACACAUCGUAAUCAGCGUUGCCGCGAGCUUGAAAAAAAUGUAUCAGUUGCUAAGCAGAAAAAGUAUCAAAA
rnacentral:misc_RNA from 1 species